rnacentral:rRNA from 1 species
GGGGAAUAUUGGACAAUGGGCGCAAGCCUGAUCCAGCCAUGCCGCGUGAGUGAUGAAGGCCUUAGGGUUGUAAAGCUCUUUCACCCACGACGAUAAUGACGGUAGUGGGAGAAGAAGCCCCGGCUAACUUCGUGCCAGCAGCCGCGGUAAUACGAAGGGGGCUAGCGUUGUUCGGAUUUACUGGGCGUAAAGCGUACGUAGGCGGACCGUUAAGUCGGAGGUGAAAUCCUGGGGCUCAACCCCAGAACUGCCUUCGAUACUGGCGGUCUCGAGUCCGGGAGAGGUGAGUGGAACUGCCAGUGUAGAGGUGAAAUUCGUAGAUAUUGGCAAGAACACCAGUGGCGAAGGCGGCUCACUGGCCCGGUACUGACGCUGAGGUACGAAAGCGUGGGGAGCAAAC